GCCAUAUGUUCUUAGACGCAACGCGGUUAUUUGUUGACAAAGUGGAUUUCUGAAUUAAACCGAUUGGAAACGUAACAUGACCGACACAAGUCAACCCUUAGAUGAUUCGAAUGAAAAUGAGAAGCGUCCACAGUUUGGCACACGUCUGCUCACGGAUAACGUCGACGUUUUUAAGCACAACGCCUGGGACCACGUGGAAUGGGAUGCGGACCAGGAGCUAGCCGCCCAGGCGGCUGUCGAGAAGAAUUCAACUGUUAAAAUGAGCGAAGAUCAGCGGGCACGCUUUCAGUCGGAUGCACCCAAGUUCUGGGACUCGUUCUAUGGCAUACACGAUAAUCGUUUCUUUAAAGACCGCCACUGGCUGUUCACGGAGUUUCCCGAACUGGCGCCCAUGGCGAACAACGAGCAUUCACAGCCGCGCAGCAUAUUCGAGCUGGGCUGCGGCGUGGGCAACACCAUUUUGCCCAUACUCCAAUACAGCACCGAAUCCCAGCUGCGGGUAUAUGGCUGUGACUUCUCGGAACGUGCCAUUGAAAUCCUGCGUAGUCAGCCGCAGUAUGAUGACAAACGCUGCGAGGUCUUUGUAAUGGAUGCCACGCAGGAGCAGUGGCAGGUGCCGUUCGAGGAGAACUCCCAGGACAUUAUCGUCAUGAUCUUUGUGCUGUCGGCCAUUGAGCCCUCCAAAAUGCAGCGUGUGCUGGAGAAUUGCUAUCGCUAUCUCAAGCCUGGAGGUCUGCUCGUAUUUCGGGAUUACGGACGCUACGAUCUGGCGCAGUUGCGCUUCAAGAGCGGCAAAUGCCUGGAGGAUAAUUUCUAUGUGCGCGGCGAUGGCACCAUGGUAUAUUUCUUUACGGAACAAGAGCUGCGCAGCAUGUUGACCCAAACCGGGCUGGUGGAGGAGCAGCUAUUAGUGGACAGGCGCUUACAGGUUAAUCGUGGACGUUGUCUCAAAAUGUACAGAGUAUGGAUACAGACAAAGUUUCGCAAGCCGCUGUAAAAUAGCAUUUUUAACCAAAUAUCAAACUAUCGCAUUUGAACUCGUUAGGACCAGAAGACGAAAGCUACUCGUUAGUUUUCUCACGCAGCACGAAGCUUUUGCAACUCGUCCUUAUUGGGCGAGCUUUUUCCCCAAAUACACAUAACAGUUAGAAAAGCUGCAAGUUUUCGCAGUUGGCUAAAAAACGUCUUUGAACACAAGGGCCAGAGGAUUCCUUCAAACAGCGCUGCUGCAAAAGGUUGUCGUGGCAAGUGGUACCCGCACAUACUCACACACACAUAGUCACAUACACACACAUACAUACACACACACAAUCACACAUCACGCUGCCUGCCAGUUAUAUCCCGUUUUGUGUGUCUGUGUGCGAGUGUGCGUUGAGGCCGAGAGUUGAGCGCAAAUUCAUUGAGGAAAAGCUCACUGAGAGCGAGGCUCCGAGUGUAACGGCCAGCGAACGAGAGAGCGAGCGAGAGCGAGAGCGCCAUAACAAAAACAACGAAUAGCCAAAAAGUUGCGCCUGCAGCCAGCCUGCCUGCCUGCCCGCCCGCCCUUUCCCCUCCGGCAUCCGGCAGCAACCACCAACGCGCUCUCAACCGAAAGACGUUUGGGCAAGUGCAUAAAAGUACACGGGACGACACGGACACGGACACAUUCAGUCCGAGACGUUAGGCGACGUUCAAAUUUAUUAAUACAACAACAAUAGCAGCAGCGGCUGUUACAACAACAACAACAACAGAAG